rnacentral:sRNA from 1 species
AUGACACCCUCUGUGAAAGUGGAGAAGAUUCAUCCGAAAAUGGAUGGCACACUACUGAAAUCUGCGGUGGGGCCAACCUGUCCUGCUACUGUGAGUUCCUUAGUCAAGCCUGGCCUUAACUGCCCGUCAAUACCAAAGCCAACCUUGCCUUCACCUGGACAGAUUCUGAAUGGCAAAGGGCUUCCUGCACCGCCCGCUCUGGAAAAGAAACCUGAAGACAAUUCCAAUAAUAGGAAAUUUUUAAAUAAGAGAUUAUCAGAAAGAGAGUUUGAUCCUGACAUCCACUGUGGGGUUAUUGAUCUCGACACCAAGAAGCCCUGCACCCGGUCUCUGACAUGCAAGACACAUUCCUUAACCCAGCGCAGGGCUGUCCAGGGUAGAAGAAAACGAUUUGAUGUGUUAUUAGCCGAGCACAAAAACAAAACCAGGGAAAAGGAAUUGAUUCGCCAUCCGGACUCUCAGCAACCACCGCAGCCUCUCAGGGACCCGCAUCCCGCCCCUCCUAGAACGUCACAGGAGCCGCACCAAAAUCCUCAUGGAGUGAUUCCUUCCGAAUCAAAGCCUUUUGUAGCUAGUAAACCUAAACCUCACACCCCCAGUCUUCCAAGGUAAGCCAAACCCUCCAACUCUUUCUCCCACCUUCAGAGAUGAGACUUGCAGAUACUGUAAAAUCUCAGUAUGGUCAUGAUGUUGAGAAACAUAUCUCAGGCUCACUGUGGAGAUAGUUUUUUAAGGGAGUUUUACUAUGAAAAAAAAAGAA